GCCCCAUGGGGCGCAGCAGGCGAGAAAACUUUGCAAUGUGCGAAAGCACGACAAGGUUAAUCCGAGUGGUUUCUGCUAAAGGAACCUUUUGUCGGUCCUAGAAACACCGAUGAAUAAGGGGUGGGCAAGUUCUGGUGUCAGCCGCCGCGGUAAAACCAGCACCUCAAGUGGUCAGGAUGAUUAUUGGGCCUAAAGCAUCCGUAGCCGGCUCUGUAAGUUUUCGGUUAAAUCUGUACGCUUAACGUACAGGCUGCCGGGAAUACUGCAGAGCUAGGGAGUGGGAGAGGUAGACGGUACUCGGUAGGAAGGGGUAAAAUCCUUUGAUCUAUUGAUGACCACCUGUGGCGAAGGCGGUCUACCAGAACACGUCCGACGGUGAGGGAUGAAAGCUGGGGGAGCAAACCGGAUUAGAUACCCGGGUAGUCCCAGCUGUAAACUAUGCAAACUCAGUGAUGCAUUGGCUUGUGGCCAAUGCAGUGCUGCAGGGAAGCCGUGAAGAUUGCCGAC
rnacentral:rRNA from 1 species